CCUACGGGAGGCAGCAGUGGGGAAUAUUGCACAAUGGGGGGAACCCUGAUGCAGCGACGCCGCGUGGGUGCGGAAGUACUUCGGUAUGUAAAGCCCUAUCAGCAGGGAAGAAAAUGACGGUACCUGACUAAUAAUCCCCGGCUAACUACGUGCCCUCAGCCGCGGUACGACGUAGGGGGGAAGCGUUAUCCGGAUUUACUGGGGGUAAAGGGGGCUUAGACGGCGUGCCAAGUCUGGUGUGAAAGGCCGGGGCUCAACCCCGGGACUGCAUUGGAAACUGGCAUGCUGGAGGGCAGGAGGGGCAAGCGGAAUUCCUAGUGUAGCGGUGAAAUGCGUAGAUAUUAGGAGGAACACCGGUGGCGAAGGCGGCUUGCUGGACGGUAACUGACGUUGAGGCUCGAAAGCGUGGGGAGCAAACAGGAUUAGAUACCCCUGUAGUC
rnacentral:rRNA from 1 species